AGUCAGAACGCACAGCGAAAGGUGCUUGCACCUUUCAAGUGAGUGGCGAACGGGUGAGUAACACGUGGAUAACCUACCUCAAGGUUGGGGAUAACAUUUGGAAACAGAUGCUAAUACCGAAUAAAACUUAGUAUCGCAUGAUACCAGGUUAAAAGGCGCUACGGCGUCACCUAGAGAUGGAUCCGCGGUGCAUUAGUUAGUUGGUGGGGUAAAGGCUUACCAAGACAAUGAUGCAUAGCCGAGUUGAGAGACUGAUCGGCCACAUUGGGACUGAGACACGGCCCAAACUCCUACGGGAGGCUGCAGUAGGGAAUCUUCCACAAUGGGCGAAAGCCUGAUGGAGCAACGCCGCGUGUGUGAUGAAGGCUUUCGGGUCGUAAAGCACUGUUGUAUGGGAAGAACAGCUAGAGUAGGGAAUGACUUUAGUUUGACGGUACCAUACCAGAAAGGGACGGCUAAAUACGUGCCAGCAGCCGCGGUAAUACGUAUGUCCCGAGCGUUAUCCGGAUUUAUUGGGCGUAAAGCGAGCGCAGACGGUUAAUUAAGUCUGAUGUGAAAGCCCGGAGCUCAACUCCGGAAAGGCAUUGGAAACUGGUUAACUUGAGUGCAGUAGAGGUAAGUGGAACUCCAUGUGUAGCGGUGGAAUGCGUAGAUAUAUGGAAGAACACCAGCGGCGAAGGCGGCUUACUGGACUGUAACUGACGUUGAGGCUCGAAAGUGUGGGUAGCAAACAGGAUUAGAUACCCUGGUAGUCCACACCGUAAACGAUGAACACUAGGUGUUAGGAGGUUUCCGCCUCUUAGUGCCGAAGCUAACGCAUUAAGUGUUCCGCCUGGGGAGUACGACCGCAAGGUUGAAACUCAAAGGAAUUGACGGGGACCCGCACAAGCGGUGGAGCAUGUGGUUUAAUUCGAAGCAACGCGAAGAACCUUACCAGGUCUUGACAUCCUUUGAAGCUUUUAGAGAUAGAAGUGUUCUCUUCG
rnacentral:rRNA from 1 species